rnacentral:lncRNA from 1 species
UUUGGGUCAUAAAUCUAGGUUUAUUUUAAAAGAGCAGUAAAAAAAAUACUGAGCUGUCAGUUUUGGUGUCAAGAAAGGAUUGCAGAAGUUAAGGUUACUAGCGCUGGGGUAAAGCUGAAGAGCUAGGGCGUGGUGGUCUAAAUAGGGAGAGGCAGGCUUAGAGGGAAAGUGAUUCCAGAACCCUUUCUCUCCUCUCCCCUCCUCUCCUACUCUCUCCUCCCUCCUCUUCUUUCUCCCUCCCCUUCCUUCUGCGCCCUUCCCUUCCCUUACUCCCUCUCCUCCCCUGUGUAUGUGUGUUAUAUAAAAAGCUAUGUAUUUGUGCCUGUGUGUGGGUGCGUGCGUGUGAAUGUGGGUGCUUCAGAGACCAGACUUGAGAGGCAUCCUAGCUCCUGGGACGGUGUUACCAGCAGCUGUGAGCCCUUGGCAUGCAUGGGUUCUGGGAGCUGAACUGGGUCUUCUUCAAGAACAAGUGCUCUUAACUGUUGAGCUAACUCCAGUCUCUGAAGCUAUAUUUUAAAAUCCUCUCAUUAUUGUUCUGCUUUGAACUAUAAAAUAGAACCUAUUUUACUGAAACUUGAACAUUUCACUUAAUCUACUUGGCUAUAUACACAUUUUACCUUGAUUUGAACUAGCCUUUCUCUUAUGUAUUUUGUUUACUUAUGUUAUAGAACACGUGUAGCAACCUAGAGAGUGUAAAACAUGUUCCGUCACCUCACAGAGGAAGCAGGUUGUUGGCCUAUUUUUAAAUGAUUUUCCUAUAGCAUUUAUAAGUAUAGGUGCUCACCAAAUGUUUAUUCUGUUGUUGGUUAUAUAAUCCUAAAGCAUUUUCUUUAUGAACAAUGAUUUAUAUAACAGUGCCCUUGGUUCAUGGUAAGGCUGGAUGCAUGUUUAGAUUCCUGAUGCUCUUAUGUCUAUUUAUCUGCUGUUUCUUCUGACAUGUGCUCCUGCUCUCUCUAGAGACAGAAAUAGGUGCAGGGCCUUAUGUGUUUAAGAGCAGGCAAAUGCAUGAUAGACGCUUAAACUCAAAGAAUGUUAGAUAAGGAUGUGGUCUCCUUUUUGAAGUAAUGUACUCUUUGGAGAAAAUAACAUACAUAAAUUCAGAGUGAGAUCAAAUUUAUUAAGGGUAUUUCUGAAAGGUGCUGUGUUGCCUUGCUACUUUCAUAUUUAUGAGACACAAUCAAUAGUUUUAAAGCUAUUAUACUACUAUAAUUAUUUUUAUAGCUUAGGAAAUAGUUUAAAUAAAAUCAUUUCAAGGUUACUUGCAAAGCAAAUAAAGAAAUCAUCUAGCUGUAACUGUUAAGCCCCUAGUACAAACAAAAUACAUUAUUAAAUUGUCUGAUUAAGUAUGCUUUUAGUAAGUUAGGAUAGCUUUAUCAUUUUCCUUUUGUGAAAGGCAGCAGAGUUGUAUAAGUCUUUGAAUGGUGAAAAACAUUAAAAAUUCUUUUAAAAAUUAUUGUUAUGUGUAUGAAUAUAUCUGUGUUUACCAUUUACAUGUUGGUGCCAAAAGAGGCCAGAAGAGACUGUCAGAUCAUCCUGGGACUCAGUAAUAGAGGUGUUGGCUAUAACCUGGGCCCUCUGAAAGAGCAGCCAGCACUCUUUACUGCUGAACCAUUUCUUCCGUCUGGUGAAAACCAUUUUUAAAAAAUCAGGUUAUGAAAAAGGAUUAAAGACGGGAAAUCAGCAGUAGUCAGGACACCUAGUAAUCAUGUUUAAAUGUUGUUUACAGCAACUGGGCACAGUUGUGCUUGCCUGUAAUCCCAGGAUUUGAGUGACUGAGAUAGAUCGCAAGUUGGAGGCCAGUUCAUACUACACAGUGAGAAAAUGCUGACCAGGGCUGAGUAUUUUGUAAAACCAAAACCAAACCAUGUUUACUAUAGAUAGUGUAGAUACUGUAUAUAGAUAGUUCUUAAAGAGGACCCAGGUUCAAUUCCCAGCCCCCAUAUGGCAGCUCACAACCUUUUGUAACUCCAGGGAAUCCAAUGCCCCUUCUGGCCUCUGCCAGCACCACACUCAGAUGGUACAAAUAAAUACAUACAUACAUACAUACAUACAUACACACACACACACAUACAUACACACACACAUACAUACAUACAUACAUGCACACACACACAUACAUACAUACAUGCAAAACACUCAUACACAUGAAAAUAAAGGUUUAAAACAAACAGUGUUCGACUUUUUGCCACUCUGAUAGUGGCAAGCGCUCUACCACUGAACUGUCAUUGCCCCUCCAACAUUUUCAGUUGCCGUAUAGAAAACUUUAGUGCCAGUGUUGUCCUGAAUGUCAAGACCAAAAGUCAGAAAUAACUUUUUUUUAUUAGGUAUUUUCUUUAUUUACAUUUCAAAUGUUAUCCCCUUUCCUAGUUUCCUCUCUGAAAAUCCCCUAUCCCCUUCCCCCUUGCCCUGCUCCCCAACCCACCCACUCCCCCUUCCUGGCCUUGGCAGUCCCCUGUACUGGGGCAUAGAACCUUCCCAAGACCAAGGGCCUCUCCUCCCAUUGAAGUCCGACUAGGCCAUCCUCAGCUACAUAUGCAGCUAGAGCCAUGAGCCCCACCAUGUGUUUUCUUUGAUUGGUGGUUUAGUUCCAGGGAGCUCUGGGGGUCCUGGUUAGUUCAUAUUAUUGUUCCUCCUAGGGGGCUGCACACCCCUUCAGCUCCUUGGGUACUUUCUCUAGCUCCUUCACUGGGGACCCUGUGCUCCAUCCAAUGGAUGGCUGUGAGCAUCCACGUCUGUAUUUGUCAGGCACUGGCAGAGCCUCACAGGAGACAGCUAUAUCAGGCUCCUGUCAGCAAGCUCUUGUUGGCAUCCAUAAUAGUGUCUGGGUUUGGUGGUUGUUUAUGGGAUUGAUCCCCAGAUGGGGCAGUCUCUAGAUGGUCCUUCCUUCAGUCUCUGCUCCACAAUUUGUCUCUGUAACUUCUUUCAUGGGUAUUUUGUCCCCUCUUCUAAGAAGGAUCCAAGUAUCCACACUUUGGUCUUCCUUCUUCUUGAGUUUCAUGUGUUUUGCAAAUUGUAUCAUGGGUAUUCUGAGCUUCUGGGCUAAUAUCCACUUAUCAGUGAGUGCAUAUCAUGUGAGUUCUUUGGUGAUUGGGUUACCUCAAGAUGAUAUCUUUCAGAUCCAUCCAUUUAUCUAAGAAUUUCAUAAAUUCAUUGUUUUUAAUAAGUGCAUAGUGCUCCAUUGUGUAAAUGUACCACAUUUUCUGUAUCCAUUCCUCUGUUGAGGGACAUCUGGGUUCUUUCCAGCUUCUGGCUAUUAGAAAUAAGUUGGACUCGAAAACCAAAUAACCCUAUUAAGAAAUGGGGUACAGAGCUAAACAAAGAAUUCUCAACUGAAGAAUACCGAAUGCCUGAAAAGCACCUAAAAAAUGUUCAACAUCCUUAAUCAUCAGGGAGAUGCAAAUCAAGACAACCCUGAGGUUCCACCUCACACCAGUCAGAAUGGCUAAGAUCAAAAACUCAGGGGACAGCAGAUGCUGGCGAGGGUGUGGAGAAAGAGGAACACUCAUUGCUGGUGGGAUUGCAAGCUGGUACAACCACUCUGGAAAUCAGUUUGGUGGUUCCUCAGAAAAUUGGACAUAGUUCUACCGGAAGAUCCAGCAAUACCUCUCCUGGGCGUAUACCCAGAAGAUGCUCCAACAUGUAGUAAGGACACAUGCUCCACUAUGUUCAUAGUAGUCUUAUUUAUAAUAACCAGAAAUAACUUUUAAAAAUGAGUUUAAAAAUAUUCUACAAAAAUUUAUUUUUAUCUUUUAUUACUUUUUUAAAGAGUUAUUUUUUUUAUGUGUGUGUGUGUGUGUGUGUGUGUGUGUGUAUUUGUGUAUCUGCCAUAUGUGUGCCCAUGGAAGCCAGAAAGGAAGUUGGCGCCCUGAAGCUGGCAUUAUAUACAGUAAUGAGCCACGUGAUGUGGGAACUGAACCAGGGUCCUUUUAGGAAAGCAACAAGGGCUGAGCCAUCUUUGUAGCCCUUCUGUGGGGGACAUUUCAGAGCAGGGUUCCUCUGUUCUGUAGUCUCAGCUGUCCUGGAACUCACUCUCUAGACCAGGCUGGCCUCGAACUCAGAAAUCUGCCUGCCUCUGCCUCCCAAGUGCUGGGCACUACCACUGCCCAGUUUAUGGCCCUUUUCCAGCAUGGUCUACAGAGAGAGUUAAAGGACAGACAAGGCUACACAUAGGGAAACCUUGUCUCAAGAAACCUAACAACCAACAAGCAACAUGCAACCAAACAAACAAAAACACCAAAACAAAACUAUUUUUAAAAUAAAUUCAAAUUUUUCACUUUAAAAAAAAAAAAACCAAAAAAACC